rnacentral:lncRNA from 1 species
GAAAAAAUUGCAAUAAUAAUAUUCACUAACAGAAUAUUUGUCAAAAUUAGAUACACUGCGAUCAUAAACGCAUUGAACUUGUUUUUGACCGGACAUCGAUCCAUUGUUCCAUUCGUGUAUAGCUGAGGGUAACUUGUACAUUUUGUAGGUUCUUCCCCUUAGUAAUAUCAAAUUGAAAAACAAGAAGAUCAGAAGUACUUAUUUUAAGUUAAAGAAACAAAUUAUAUAAACAAUAAAAUAUCUUUAAUGCAGAUGUUAGUGAUAAUCCAAGGUAGGGACUAUUACAAAUAUAUGUUGUGCGUGCAAU